rnacentral:rRNA from 1 species
AGAGUUUGAUCAUGGCUCAGAUUGAACGCUGGCGGCAUGCCUUACACAUGCAAGUCGAGCGGCAGGNGGGCAACCCUGGCGGCGAGCGGCGCACGGGUGAGUAAUGCAUCGGAACGUGUCCUCUUGUGGGGGAUAACCAGUCGAAAGACUGGCUAAUACCGCAUGAGCUCGCGAGAGGAAAGCAGGGGACCCGCAAGGCCUUGCGCGAGAGGAGCGGCCGAUGCCGGAUUAGCUAGUUGGUGGGGUAAAAGCCCACCAAGGCGACGAUCCGUAGCUGGUCUGAGAGGACGACCAGCCACACUGGGACUGAGACACGGCCCAGACUCCUACGGGAGGCAGCAGUGGGGAAUUUUGGACAAUGGGGGCAACCCUGAUCCAGCCAUGCCGCGUGUGUGAAGAAGGCCUUCGGGUUGUAAAGCACUUUCGGCCGGAACGAAAUCGCGUGGGCGAAUAUCCCGCGUGGAUGACGGUACCGGAAGAAGAAGCACCGGCUAACUACGUGCCAGCAGCCGCGGUAAUACGUAGGGUGCGAGCGUUAAUCGGAAUUACUGGGCGUAAAGUGUGCGCAGGCGGCCGCGCAAGUCGAGUGUGAAAGCCCCGAGCUUAACUUGGGAAUUGCGCUCGAAACUACGUGGCUGGAGUGUGGCAGAGGAAGGUGGAAUUCCAGGUGUAGCGGUGAAAUGCGUAGAGAUCUGGAGGAACACCGAUGGCGAAGGCAGCCUUCUGGGCCAACACUGACGCUCAUGCACGAAAGCGUGGGGAGCAAACAGGAUUAGAUACCCUAGUAGUCC